UACAGAGGUCCCAAGCGUUGUUCGGAUUCACUGGGCGUAAAGGGUGCGUAGGUGGCCAGGUAAGUUCGGUGUGAAAGCUCGGAGCUUAACUCCGAAAUGGCAUUGAAUACUAUCUGGCUAGAGGGUCGGAGGGGAGACUGGAAUUCUCGGUGUAGCAGUGAAAUGCGUAGAUAUCGAGAGGAACACCAGUGGCGAAGGCGAGACUCUGGACGACACCUGACACUGAGGCACGAAAGCCAGGGGAGCAAACAGG
rnacentral:rRNA from 1 species